rnacentral:SRP_RNA from 1 species
GCCGGGUGCGGUGGCAUGUGCCUGUAAUCCAAGUCACUGGGAGGCUGAGGUUGGUGGAUCAAGUGAGCUGAGGAGCUCUGGGCUGCAGCACACUAUGUGGAACGGGUGUCCACGCUAAGUUCGGUAUCGAUAUGGUGUUCCUCGGGGAGCCCGGGACCACCAGGUUGUCUAAGGAGGGGUGAACCGGCCCAGGUCGGAAACGAAGCAGGUCAAAUCCCCGUGCUGUCCAGUAGUGGGAUAAUACCUGUGAGUAGAUGCUGCAGUGCAGCCUUGGCGAAACAUCGAGACCUAAUCUUUC